UACGUAGGGGGCGAGCGUUGUCCGAAGUUACUGGGCGUAAAGAGCGCGUAGGCGGGUCUUUAAGUGAGGGGUGAAAGGUUAGGGCUCAACCCUAACACUGCCUUUCAUACUGGGGACCUUGAGUGCGGGAGAGGCGAGUGGAAUGGUCGGUGUAGCGGUGAAAUGCGUAGAUAUCAGGAGGAACACCGGUGGCGAAGGCGCUCAUCUGGCCCAAUACUGACGCUGAGGCGCGAAAGCUAGGGGAGCAAACGGG
rnacentral:rRNA from 1 species